rnacentral:rRNA from 1 species
GACGAACGCUGGCGGCGUGCUUAACACAUGCAAGUCGAGCGGUAAGGCUCCUUCGGGAGUACACGAGCGGCGAACGGGUGAGUAACACGUGAGCAAUCUGCCCUUCACUCUGGGAUAACCCCCGGAAACGGGAGCUAAUACCGGAUACGACCACUUCAGGCAUCUGAUGGUGGUGGAAAGUUCCGGCGGUGAAGGAUGAGCUCGCGGCCUAUCAGCUUGUUGGUGAGGUAAUGGCUCACCAAGGCUUCGACGGGUAGCCGGCCUGAGAGGGUGACCGGCCACACUGGGACUGAGACACGGCCCAGACUCCUACGGGAGGCAGCAGUGGGGAAUAUUGGACAAUGGGCGAAAGCCUGUUCCAGCAACGCCGCGUGAGGGAUGACGGCCUUCGGGUUGUAAACCUCUUUCAGCAGGGACGAAGCGAAAGUGACGGUACCUGCAGAAGAAGGACCGGCCAACUACGUGCCAGCAGCCGCCGUAACAC